rnacentral:tRNA from 1 species
GGUGGCUCAGUGGUGGAGCGGUUGCCUUGAAUGCAUGAAGUCCUGGGUUCAAUUCCUCAGCACCA